CCCUUAGAUGUUCUGGGCCGCACGCGCGCUACACUGAUGCAUUCAACGAGUUUCUUCCUGGUCCGAGAGGAAUGGGUAACCUUUUGAAAGUGCAUCGUAAUAGGGAUAGACUAUUGCAAUUAUUGGUCUUCAACGAGGAAUUCCUAGUAGACGUAGUUCAUCAGACUGCAUCGAUUACGUCCCUGCCCUUUGUACACACCGCCCGUCGCUCCUACCGAUUGAAUGCUCAGGUGAGCCAUUCGGACUUUCAUCAUGCUGGUUUCCAGUUUUGAUGAAGGAAAGUCUUGCGAACCUUAUCAUUUAGAGGAAGGAGAAGUCGUAACA
rnacentral:rRNA from 1 species